UACGUAGGGUGCAGGCGUUAAUCGGAAUUACUGGGCGUAAAGCGUGCGCAGGCGGUUUGCUAAGACAGGUGUGAAAGCCCCGGGCUUAACCUGGGAACGGCCGUUGAAACUGGCGAACUGGAGUGUGGCAGAGGGGGGUGGAAUUCCGCGUGUAGCAGUGAAAUGCGUAGAGACGCGGAGGAACACCGAUGGCGAAGGCAGCCCCCUGGGCUAACACUGACGCUCAGGCACGAAAGCGUGGGGAGCAAACAGG
rnacentral:rRNA from 1 species